rnacentral:RNase_P_RNA from 12 species
CAAUCAAGAAAGGAGAAAAGCACAAAAUAAAAAAUCGCGGCAAGCAAAAAAACAAAAAAGAAAACGACGUUCUCCCAAAACAAAACAUGAUUCCUCCAUGCGUUGAUUCGCGAAUUUUUAAUUGCACAUUUUUUUUUCUUUUUCUUUUUCUCUUUUUUUUCUUUUUCUUCUCGUGGUUGAUCUCGAUCGAUCAAGUUGUUCGUUGAAGCAACAAAAGAAGAAGAAGAAGAAAA